GAGAGGUGGAGAGGGAGAUCUGGAGCCUUCAGUAAAUCCUGCAGCCGGUUCUCAGGAAGGUGCUGACUCAAUAGACUUCCCAAUUGCUAGGUGUCUCGUCCAACACCUCUUUGAAGAUGAUUGGUCAGCCAGAGAGACAAAGGAUAGGGAGAUGUGGAGCCUUCAAUAAAUCCUGCAGUGAAGUUGCAUUGGGACAUUGACAGGACGCAGAGCUGGGCUGGAAGUGGCAGAUGGAGUCCAAUCUGGAAAAGUG